UGGGCGACUCAAACCCGAUAGCGAAUCAGGAAAAAACUAAAAAGGAUGCGAGCGAGGUGGGAGCGGCGAUUGGAAGAGCCAGUCCGCCGGUGGCGGAUCCCCGCCAGGGAGAGCCGUGCGGAGGGAGGGCGGAGUCGACCGCUGGGGCACACAGGCCGGACCCGAUCCGCCGGCGACGAGGAGCCGGAGAAGAGGUGCGCGGCCCUGCUCGCAACAUGGGGCGGCAGAUCCUGCCAGGGAAGCAACGGAGGGGAGGGCGGAGCCGCCCGCUGGGGCGCACAGGCCGGACCCGAUCCACCAGCGAUGAGGAACCGGAGAAGAUGGGCGCGGCCCUGCUCGUGGCGUGGGGCGGUGGAUCCCGCCGGGGAAGCAACGGAGGGGAGGGCGGAGCCAGCUUGCGGACGACGACACCCGGCCGGAAAAAGAUACACGCCUCCGGAGGCCACAAUUUUUUUCAACGGUCAUCGGGCUCGAGCGCGUGAGUCGCUGGUCGAAAGCCCAAAUUCGCGAAAUCCCCAGAGCCGCCGUGGCGUCGCACUCUUCCGCACAGUCGUCCUCCUCCGCCACCCUCUCCCACGCUCUUUCCUCUCAGGCAAGCACUUCCGCUCGAGCUGCGUCCUUUGCCUCGGUCGUCUCAUAACUGUUGGCAACAAGCUCUGCCUUCAUUUUUGUGAUCUAGCUUGUUGGACCUCUGGCUUGAGCAGCGAUCUGAAAUUCCUUCAGUUUUCUGCUCCAAUUUGAUGUCCUGACAAAUGAAUUUUGAGCCGUGGUCUGAGCUCACGCUCGUUUGCCUUCAUCCAAGCUUCUCCCAAACU